rnacentral:rRNA from 1 species
UAAUACAGAGGGUGCAAGCGUUAAUCGGAAUUACUGGGCGUAAAGCGUGCGUAGACGGUUACGUAAGUCAGAUGUGAAAGCCCCGGGCUCAACCUGGGAAUUGCAUUUGAGACUGCGUAGCUAGGGUGCGGAAGAGGGAAGCGGAAUUUCCGGUGUAGCGGUGAAAUGCGUAGAUAUCGGAAGGAACACCAGUGGCGAAAGCGGCUUCCUGGU